rnacentral:rRNA from 1 species
GAUGAACGCUAGCGGCAGGCCUAAUACAUGCAAGCCGAACGGCAAGUCUUAUAGCAAUAUGAGACCUAGAGUGGCGUAAGGGUGCGUAACACGUAUGCAAUCUGCCCGCAACCGGAGGAUAGCUCCCCGAAAGGGGAAUUAAGACUCCAUAAAAUGGAGAGGUGGCAUCACCAUUUCAUUAAAUUACAAGAGGUUGUGGAUGAGCAUGCGCAUGAUUAGUUAGUUGGCGGGGUAAGGGCCCACCAAGACGAUGAUCAUUAGGGGAACUGAGAGGUUGAUCCCCCACACUGGCACUGAGAUACGGGCCAGACUCCUACGGGAGGCAGCAGUAGGGAAUAUUGGACAAUGGGUGCAAGCCUGAUCCAGCCAUGCCGCGUGC